AGAAAGGUAAGCUAAUUAAGCUACCAGGUUCAUACCCUGUUUAUAGGAGUAAUAACCCCCUCCUUUCUA
rnacentral:tRNA from 1 species